GAUGUUAAUGCUGGUCAACUGGGCCUGAAUUCCAAAAGGGAGGAGGGUAUAAUAAGGCAUGCCUGGUUCCCCUUUCCUUCAUGGCUGAACUAGUUUUUCAGAUUAACUUUGGAAUGCCCUUGGCCAAAAGGAGCGAUCCAUUUGGACGGUCUAGGAGGCUUAGAAUUUUAUUUUUGGUUUACAUAAUGUCUAAAAAUUAAUACAUUCUUUUUCUCCUUGCUAAAAGGACCAGUGUACCACGAGUACUGUGAGUGUCCGGAAGAUCCUCAGGCCUGGCAGAAAACUCUUUCUUGUCCAACCAGGGAACCACAGAUCACAAAAGAUUUUGCUUCCUUUCCCAGCAUCAAUCUCCAGCAAAUGCUAAAUGAAGUCCCCAAAAGGUUUGGGGAUGAGAGAGGUGCCAUUGUUCAUUACACGAUUCUCAAUAACCAUAUUUACCGGAGAUCUUUAGGGAAAUACACAGACUUCAAGAUGUUCUCUGAUGAGAUUUUGUUAUCAUUGACAAGAAAGGUCCUUCUCCCAGAUUUAGAAUUUUAUGUUAAUCUUGGAGAUUGGCCCUUGGAGCAUCGAAA
rnacentral:sRNA from 1 species